GGGGGAACCAGGACAUGGCAAACAGAGGGUCACUAACCCCAUAAGAAGUUGUAAAGAGAUGAUAGACGUGGAAUGUCUCGAGCAGACGCAGAGGCUAGAAUCACAUCCUCACAUAGCCAUUAACCGAAACAGGGGACAAGCUCGAAAGGUGACAGCCCUAAAGUGAUGAGUAGUACCGGUUGAUAAUAAAAAGGAAAAUAAAGAAUGGUCAUUGUGUAAUACCAAUGUUAAUUAUUGUUCC